rnacentral:rRNA from 1 species
GAUGAACGCUAGUGGCAGGCUUAAUACAUGCAAGUCGUGGGGCAGCAGGGGUAGCAAUACCCGCUGGCGACCGGCAAACGGGUGCGGAACACGUACGCAACCUUCCUUUAACUGGAGAAUAGCCCCCUCGAAAGAGGGAUUAAUACUCCGUAACAUAUUGAUAAGGCAUCUUAUUAAUAUUAUAGCUCCGGCGGUUAAAGAUGGGCGUGCGCCUGAUUAGAUAGUUGGCGGGGUAACGGCCCACCAAGUCUGCGAUCAGUAACUGGUGUGAGAGCACGACCAGUCACACGGGCACUGAGACACGGGCCCGACUCCUACGGGAGGCAGCAGUAAGGAAUAUUGGUCAAUGGACGCAAGUCUGAACCAGCCAUGCCGCGUGGAGGAUUAA